UACGGGGGGAGCAAGCGUUGUUCGGAUUUACUGGGCGUAAAGGGCGCGUAGGCGGUCAGCACAAGUCAAUUGUGAAAUCUCUGAGCUUAACUCGGAAAGGUCAACUGAAACUGUGCGACUAGAGUGCGGAAGGGGCAACUGGAAUUCUUGGUGUAGCGGUGAAAUGCGUAGAUAUCAAGAGGAACACCUGCGGCGAAGGCGGGUUGCUGGGCCGACACUGACGCUGAAGCGCGAAAGCCAGGGGAGCGAACGGG
rnacentral:rRNA from 1 species